rnacentral:rRNA from 1 species
GAUGAACGCUGGCGGCGUGCCUAAUACAUGCAAGUCGAGCGAACGGACGAGAAGCUUGCUUCUCUGAUGUUAGCGGCGGACGGGUGAGUAACACGUGGAUAACCUACCUAUAAGACUGGGAUAACUUCGGGAAACCGGAGCUAAUACCGGAUAAUAUUUUGAACCGCAUGGUUCAAAAGUGAAAGACGGUCUUGCUGUCACUUAUAGAUGGAUCCGCGCUGCAUUAGCUAGUUGGUAAGGUAACGGCUUACCAAGGCAACGAUGCAUAGCCGACCUGAGAGGGUGGUCCGCCACACUGGGAACGAGGAAAGGGCCAGGAUCCCUAGGGAGGCCGCAGUAGGGAAUUUUUCGGCAUGGGCGGAAGGCCGACCGAGGAACGGCGCGUGGGUGGAAGAGGGUCUUGGAUCCUAAAACCCUUUUAAUAGGGAAGAAAAAAUGUGGAAGGAACCGAGCCCCGUUUGACGGUACCUAAACCGAAAGCCACGGCUUAACACGUG